UAUUGUUAAAUUAUGAUCGAGACACUGGCUGAAAAUGAAAAUAAAAAGAGACUCUUAAAUAUGCUAGUAUUCUACUUAAUAUUAUGUGAAUGCAGUUGGUAAUUCUUUUACUAGUCAAAUGGUUGAUAGAUGUUGUGUUUGAAGUUACUCCAUCAGGUCACACAAGCUGGCGGUUCACACGGGCUGGUGGUUUGACGCGGGUUGAACGGGUUGGAACGGUUUUGACGUGCCGGUUUUUGACGGUUUGCGAAUCGAAGAUUUAGGAACCGUAACCGGUUCGUCGGCAACCACGGUUCGUGCCGGUUCGGGCCGGUUCGAACCGGCACGUUAAAAUACGGGCUAAAUGACGGUUCGGUCCAGUUCGGGCCGAGCCAAACCGCCCGAAUGGCCGGCUCUAGUACACUCUGAUGUUCUCCUGUUUUAUAUAUAUGCAUAAUGUUGUCUAAUUAAAUUAGAUUCAUGGCAUCUGUAGACAUGAUACACGGUGUUGUCUAAUUAAUUUGCCUAUCUUUCAUUGCAGGUUAAACUUUUGUUGAUAAAGUGUUUGAUGAUUUGCCCAAAAGAACAAAUAUGGCCGUUUCAUUUAGCUAAACAAGCUUUUGAUGAGGCAAUUGCAGAGUUCGACACCUUGAGAGUCCUACAAGGACAGCACCUUAAUGGAAACAUGCACUACUCAUUUAGGAGUAGAUUCUGAUCGGUUCUAUGUGAUCUCUACUCAUUUAGGAGCAACCGAACACAUGCACUCCAAUGGACAUGCUUCUGCAUUGGAUCCAGGCAAUAUGUGAAAAUUACAACCGGAAGGUUGAUAACUUUGCUUCAAUUUGCUGAUGGAAGAGCCAUGUGGUGCUUGCUGGAUUAUUACUUUCACAGUGAUAAUCAUUUGGCAUGUUCGUUCAAGAUUAGUAAGGAUAUGUACGAGGAAGACAAUGGAACUAUUGCAGAAGCAUCUAUAAUGUCCACAACCAACUAUACAGAUGCAGUGCACAAUUUUCUAAUGUCGCAGAAAUUGACAACAUUAUUGGGGAAGUUCCGAGUGUUUUCGAGCCUUACAAGGAUGGGAUAGUUGAUCUCCUUGGUCCCAAACUACUCUACAUUGCGUUUAAUUUGGCCGCUCUAGCACGUGGCGUCUGGAAACUCAAUACUUUUGGUCUUCUUCCAACCCAUGCAUCAGACUGGGUGUCAUCUUUACCUCCUGCCCAGCUGCAAGGGGUCACAAUGGACAAAGGAUCAUUUUUGAUGAUUACAGCAAAGCAUAUUUUUGGUUGCGGCAGAAUACUCCUCAGGGUGCCAAGGUGAUGUCCUGGUGGGAGUCGUGGGACUACGGAUAUCAGAUCACUGCGAUUGCGAUUGCGAUGGGGAACAGAACUGUGAUUGUGGACAAUAACACCUGGAACAAUACCCACAUAGCUCAGUUCGAACUUGGACGUGCAAUGUCAUCUUAUGAGGAUGAAGCAUAUGAGAUAAUAAGAUCACUAGAUGUUGAUUAUGUAUUAGUUGUUUUUGGAGGUGUUAGGGGUUACUCUUCUGAUGGUAUUAACAAGUAAGCACUAAAUUUAUUUUUUUUCUGAUUCUUAAUUUUCGAAUAAGAUACUAAUCUAUGUUGUUCAUCUUUAGAUGCCAAUCUCUGUUCCAGAUAGUACCAUCUAUCUAUAUAAUAGUUUUUGAUGCGUGAAAUGUACAGUAAGUGACCUGGACAAGUAAUUGACCCCAGCCUUCCUUCUAAUUGCAAUGCCGCCGCUGUCAAUGUGAUUGUUAUUUUCCAGUUUAGACUCCCGUUCAUAAAGUGUUUGCUGAUUUGCCCGGCCACCAUAAAAGGCAACAUAGGAAGCACGCCUGAUGCACCUUUUGUCAAGAGACACCGAGUAAGCAAGGCAGGCAAGCUGACCGGAUUUUUUUUAGAUCCUGAUCAAGUCCAAUACCCAAAAUACACGCAGAAGGGAAGGUUUCUACCAAUCAGAUACACAUAACAUCUGAAAAUGGAACCUCCAGAUUGCAAUAUACAAAAGAUGAUG